rnacentral:tRNA from 1 species
GAGGGUAUAGCUCAGUGGUAGAGUGUGUGCUUGGCAUGCACAAGGUCCUGGGUUCAAGCCCCAGUACCUCCA